ACAGUUUAAGGAAGAGGGCAAAUAUAUAUGUGUCGUGAUUGCUACCUCUGUUAAAACUGAAGGAGCCACCACUUUAGAUCUAGUUGGUGUUAUUUCAAUUGAAUGUUAAAUACAAAUGCUGUUUGGGAGGCUGAAAGGCAAAAUAAAAAACAACAUAUGUAGAAAAAUCAAUAACCAAUUCCAUUUUUAUUCAAAUGCAAUAUAGUUGAACCAACUGUCCAACUGUCUCCCAAGGAACUUGAAAUUGAAAACGGAAAUGUAAAGACACUGAGAUGUAGAGUGAAUAAAUUCUAUCCUGAUUCCAUUGCCAUUCUUUGGCAAAAGCAUUCUAAGCACAUGUCGGAUAAAGAUAUACUUGCAGAGGAUAUUUGCAUGGGAAGAUCUGUGAAAAAUGGUGAUGGCACUUACAACACCACCAGUAAACUGAGACUUCAACCAUCUUCACAAGACCAAGGAAACGUCUAUAGUUGUAUUGUGCAGCAUAAGUCAUUUGCCAGAUUUCCAGUCUACAAUGUAACUUUAACAGUAACAGAACCUUAUUCGACUACUCCAUUAACAAUUGGGCUGGUUUUAUGUUUUCUGAUUUCUUUUCUUCUAGUUGGAUUGCUGCUGUACAUUGUCUUUUUAAAGAAACAUGCACCAUCUGUGGAAAUGGUUGGAAGUGAGGAACUGAAGCAUUUGGAAGAAACAGAGGUGCAAUGCUUGAUUUCACACUUUCGACCCAAGCCUUUGCAGGUAGACCUCUUCUUAGUGACUGAACCUCAGAAAACAAAACAGAAAAUAGCCUCUUGGCCUACGACCUCAGUUGAAGAACCUACGGAAGAUGCUGAAAAUUCUCCUCUCCUCGGGAACUUGGAGGACAUGUUUAAAGCUCAUCCAGAGUUGAAAUCAAAACCAAAAAACUAUUAUGACUUCCAGUGGAAAAUCUGCCUGAAUCCAGAUGUACAGAAGCUGGAAAAAUUUCAACUUUUAUUAGAAAUUAAACACAAGGGCUUUCAGCAUGGAUUGUGUACUAAAACCAAAUCACUUAAAGUCAUAGCCUUACCAGAGCUUCAUGAAGUUCGUUGUUCCACAAAUAUGCCAAGAUCAAAUGAACCACUCACUCUUAGUUGCAAAAUUCAUUCUUAUUUUCCGGACUCCCUUGAAGUCUGUUGGACUAAUGAUGAUGGAAUUGUAGACAGUUCCCUUUCAACUCCACCCACAAAAGGUCCUGAUGGGCUUUACUUUUGCAUUAGCAAGAUCCACUAUUGCCCCCAAGUGGAAGAUUCUGGAAAGAAGUUUGUCUGCAAAGCUAAGCUUCAAAGACCACAAGUAUAUAAAGAAUCUGUAUGGCAGAUGAACACUUUGGUUGUGGCCCCCAAAGUUGACAAAAUCGAAUGUAAGCCCCCUGUUCCUGAGUGUGGGAAACCCAUCACAUUGAGUUGCUUAUUGACAGAAUACCAUCCACCUGAGUGUGACAUUUCUUGGAGAAAGGGCUUUGAAGAGCUCUUGGGUGCUGAAGUUAAAACAGGGGAGCCGCAGUUGGACAGAAUGUCAAAGCUGUACUCCAGGGCGAGUGAAAUAACCUUUACACCCAGCGCAGAAGACCAUGAAGUAGAAUUCUUUGUUGAAAUAAAUCAUUGCAAGAAAAUUGUACGGGAGGGAUAUAAAGUUAUGCUGAAAGAUUUUCCCAAACUUUCAAAUAUUGUUAUUGAACCAAGUGAUGCAGAUUAUGGACAAAGUGUAAAUUUAACUUGUGAUGUCACAGAUUUCUAUCCUAAUGAAAUUGAUACUCAGUGGCUCCUGGGAGAUAAUUCACCACCAAACAAUGCGGUCACAGAAGAUUUAGAGAUGGCCUGUAAUGGUUGUUACAAAUUAACUUCCAUGUUUAAACUAAGAGCUACUGCUUCAGUUUAUGAUAAGGCUAUUUGUUUCAGGAUGAACCAUACAAGAUUGACAAAGCCUAUUACAAGAAAAGUGUAUUUAAAACUUCCAGUCAAACAGCCUGUUUUGACUGAAAUAAAGGCAAGCCAAGAUCAUCAGAAUAUCCUCCUUGAAAUUUUGAUAUCACAAUUUGCACCUCAUGAUAUACAAGUCAGAUGGUACCAAGACUGGAGACAAAUAUCUGAAAAUAUCAAUCCCAGGGAUAUUGAUAUUGGAAAAGAUCACUUAUGUUAUUUUGUUAGUAAAAUAUACUUAAAUCCAAAAGAACUGCGCUUUGGGAAGACAAUACGAUGUGAAGUUAAACAUUCAACAUCUACUGAGGAAAAAAGCUUAACACUGAACACAACAGAUUUCUCUGAUCUUGAGGAAACCCAACAUCAUCACCAUGAGUUAUAACCAUUAUGAACUCCUUCAAAGUAAGCUCUCUGCAGAUGCAAUAACAGUUGGAAAAUAAUUAUGUUUUGCUACUUUUCUCGCUACAAAGUAAUAAGUCAAAAAAUUCCUAUCUUGGCUCAACCACACAGCUGAUAUCAAAGGUCUCUGAAAUCAACUCUAGCCAUUCCACUCACUGCUUUUGCUCAGGGAUGGCAGAUGUGAGUAUAUUGAAAGCCCAGGUGGCACCUU